GUGGUAUACGGAGGAGGGGCUGGAACCAAAGCCCCGGGGAUACCGAGGGACGACUGUACUUAAAAAACCUAGUGACAGAGAUUCUAUAGCGACCCCGACCCAAGACCAUCAUCCUGCAGAUGCCACUGUGCCCAAGGCAGAGCCCCGCGAGGAAUCCAGCCCCGAAUCCCUGCACCCCAAGUCCCAACGCGGCGUUAAGGAUACCAACAGCCAGGAUCUUCCCUUCCAGCGCCUCGGGGCUGACCUGCCGCCCGGAGCACUCCAGCAGCUUCCAGAGCCCCUGGACCCCCAUGAGGCGGCUGCGUCCUAAGAGCAGACCCCGACAACUUCUACUCUAAUUCUUCCACGACGGGCUGCACCGCCGCCUAGGACCCCGGGAGGAAGCCCUCCCUGCUCCUACACAACAAAGAUGGCAAAUAAUACAGAAGCCACGGUUUUCCAGUGGGGGACGGCACUAAUGGGAGCGCAUUAAAGCGGAGAGACUCCGGCUGCAACACGUCUCAGCAGCUGUCACCGCCUCCCGGAAGAAAGACAGGUCCAGAGAAUGGCCGUUGGCGGGGGCAGGGCGUCGCCUCGCCCAGCGCUUAGGCCCAAACGUCUUCGCCGCUAAUGGAAGACCGGGGUGCAAGGGCCACGCAGGCGACGGAAACAGCCAGAAGAUGUCCCUGCGACACCUCUCGCCUUCGCUGGUGGGUCCGCAAACCCACGAAAAAUGGGCCCGCUCGGUUUCCGUCUAAUACGACGCUCAGGGCGGAAGCCCCGCCUCCGCACAUGACGUAUAUUUUCUGCGCUUGCAGCACUCCGGAAGUGAGAAGUUUAGCCCCAGUGUUGAUCCCUUGGUGGUUACUUGCUUCCGCCACGCUGGCAUCCUGAAGGCGUUAAGCAUUAAAACAAUGUGCAAAAGUGCCUUCUUGGAGGGGUAACGGGCUUUUGUUUUUGUUUGAGACAGGGUCUCACGCUGUCGCCCAUACUGGAGUCUAGUGGCGCGUUCGUAGCUCACUGCAGCCUGGAACUCCUGCUGUCCGAGCUCAAGCGACUCUCCCAUCUCAGCCUCUCAAGUAGCUGGGACCGCAGGUGCGCACCACUAUGCUUGGCGAAUUAUUUUUUUAGAAAUGAGGUGUCCCUGUGUUGCCCAGGCUGGGAGCUAUUUUCUGCACGCUUUUUUAGUAUCGGUUUCUACCUUUGCGCCGCCAUGUGUGAAGAUACUUAACACGAAGUGUUGUUUUACACGUGAAGAGACAACCAAAAGGGUCUCAAUCUGUCGCCCAGGCUGGAGUGCAGUAGUGCAGUCUCAGUUUACUGCAACUUCCACCUCUCAGGCUCAAGUGAUGCUCCUGCCUCAGCCUCCCGAGUAGUUGAGAUUACAGGCCCCCAUCACCACGCCCUGAUUUUUUUUUUUUUUUGAGACAGGGUCUUGCUUUGUUGCCCAAACUGGUCUCAAACAAUCCUCCUGCCUCAGUCUCCCAAAGUGCUGGAGUUAGAGACAUGAGCCACCGUGCUCCGUGGAGAAAUCCAUUUUUAGCAAAACCACUUCAAUGCUCAAUAAGAUGGUUCACAGUGGCCAUGUUUGGUUGACCUAGUCACAACUAAUUUGCUACAGGAAUAAUCCUGACAAAGUGUUUUUUGCAUUUCCUCCAUAUGUUAAGUAAUCCCCAGAAACUGUUCCCAGUUGUUAUUUUACUGAUAGUAAUAUAACUGCCUGUUCAGUAUUUGUCUCUUCCCCAUGGUAAACUGGAAACUUACUGAAACGAAGAACGGUUUUGUUGACUGCUAUAUCCCCCGAUCCUGGCACUUAGCAGUUCUGUAAAUAUUGCCUAAAUGACCUCUUAAGCCUCUAGUCUAAAGCUCUCCAGUGCACCUUGCAGUCUGCUGAAAGAAUCUGCUUGGAGGUUAGGCUGAUAAUUCAUUCAGAUCUCAUCUGAGCCAUAUGUUGCCUUGUGUUAUGGUCUGAAUUCUGUCCUCCAAAAUUCAUCUGUGGAAGCCUGAGUACCUCAGAAUGUGACUCUCUGAAGACACAGCAUUUAAAAAUGAUUAAAUUGAAAUGAGGCCAUUAGGAUAGGCCCUAAAUCCAGUUUGACUGGUGUCUUUGUAGAAAGACGAAAUUGGGCCACAGGGAGAGACUCCAGGGAUGAUAGGCACAGAGGAAAGGCCUUGUGAGGACACAGUGAGAAGGCGGCCCUCUGCAGGUGAAGGAGACAGGCCUCAGAAGAAACCAAACCUGCCUGCUCCUGGACUUCUAGUUUCCAGAACCAUGAGAAAAUAAAUAUCUGUUGUUUAUGCCA